rnacentral:rRNA from 1 species
GAGUUUGAUCCUGGCUCAGAACGAACGCUGGCGAUGUGUUUUAAGCAUGCAAGUCGAGCGGGACUAUGGUAGCAAUAUCGUAGUUCAGCGGCGAACUGGUGAGUAACGCGUAGAUAAUCUGCCCUCAAGUGGGGGAUAGCUCCUGGAAACAGGAAUUAAUACCGCAUAAUCUACUUCCAUAUAAGUGGGUGUAGUAAAGUAGCAAUACGCUUGAGGAUGAGUCUGCGUCCCAUUAGCUAGUUGGUGAGGUAAAGGCCCACCAAGGCGACGAUGGGUAGCCGACCUGAGAGGGUGACCGGCCACAUUGGGACUGAGAUACGGCCCAGACUCCUACGGGAGGCAGCAGCUGAGAAUAUUCCGCAAUGGACGAAAGUCUGACGGAGCGACAUCGCGUGAAGGAUGAAGGCCCUCGGGUUGUAAACUUCUUUUGGCGCUGAAGAAUAAUUGACAGUAAGCGCAGAAUAAGCCUCGGCUAACUACGUGCCAGCAGCCGCGGUAAUACGUAGGAGGCAAGCGUUGUUCGGAUUUACUGGGCGUAAAGGGUGAGUAGGCGGAGUAUUAAGUCUGAGGUUAAAGCCCGGGGCUCAACCCCGGAAAAGCCUUGGAUACUGUUACUCUUGAGUUUGUUAGAGGAUGAUGGAAUUCCCGGUGCAAGGGUGGAAUCUGUAGAUAUCGGGAAGAACACCGAUGGCGAAGGCAGUCAUCUGGGACAACACUGACGCUGAAUCACGAAAGCUAGGGGAGCGAACGGGAUUAGAUACCCCGGUAGUCCUAGCCGUAAACGUUGUACACUAGUUGUAUGCGGUUUAACCGCAUGCGACGCAGUUAACGUAUUAAGUGUACCGCCUGGGGAGUAUGCUCGCAAGGGUGAAACUCAAAGGAAUUGACGGGGGCCCGCACAAGUGGUGGAGCAUGUGGUUUAAUUCGAUGAUACGCGAAAAACCUUACCUGGGUUCGAAAUGCUGGGGGAAUGGUCCAGAGAUGGGCCAGCCCGCAGGGGUCGCCAGUACAGGUGCUGCAUGGCUGUCGUCAGCUCGUGUCGUGAGAUGUUGGGUUAAGUCCCGCAACGAGCGCAACCCCUACCCCCUGUUGCCAUCAGGUAAUGCUGGGCACUCUUGGGGAACUGCCUGUGACAAACAGGAGGAAGGUUGGGAUGACGUCAAGUCCUCAUGGCCCUUAUGUCGAGGGCAACACACGUGCUACAAUGGGUAGUACAAAGAGAAGCGAUGCCGCGAGGUGGAGCAAAUCUCAAAAAGCUAUCCUCAGUUCAGAUUGGAGUCUGAAACUCGACUCCAUGAAGCUGGAAUCACUAGUAAUCGCAGAUCAGAACGCUGCGGUGAAUACGUUCCCGGGCCUUGUACACACCGCCCGUCACACCACCCGAGUCGGUUUUACCCGAAGCCGUUAGCCCAACCGCAAGGAAGGCGGCGUCUAAGGUGAGACUGGUGAGGAGGGUGAAGUCGUAACAAGGCA